AGCGUAUAAGUCCACAGUGACAUUGAACUACAAAGAAGCGAACGAGUUUUAUUGAAUCUGCAAUGGUCGAGAGGUUAAAGAUUUUUGCCUUGAGUUCAGGAGGACCGGGUUCGAUUCUCCAUCAAUGAGCGUUUGUUUCGUAAAUGAUGGGCAGACCGGGCCUCGAACCCAGAUUGUCUGGUCACAAGCGCAGAAUUAUAUUGUUCGGCCACAUUGCCAUGAAAAAUUCGCGAUUUUAUUGUGUAUUUAAAGUACACGUUUAAAGUAACUUACAAAUACAGAUAAAUGGGCCUGCAUGCUAAGAUACCAAUUGGUCUUGUGGUUAAAAGUUUUGCCUUAAAUUCAGGAGAAACAAGUUCGAAUCCCACUCAUGACUGUGUAUUAUAUAAAUGUUAAAUAGACCGAGACUCGAACCCAAAUCUCCCGAUUACCAGAUCAGAUAAUAUAUCAUUUGGCUGAAGUGCCGUGAAAAUGUCCAUGUUCUUACAUGUAUUUCAGGUGUACAGCUCGACAGGUACAAAUGCACAAGUGUUAGUGUGAGUAAAAAAAUCAACCAUGUACAGUUAGGCUUUUUUUUUUUUUUUUAGUUAAAAAAUGACCAUGUAUGAGGCUUUUAUUUUUUUGAAAAAAACCCCCAAAAAAACACGUAUAAUAAGGCUUGUCUUUUAAAUUACCUUGUAAGAUAAGGUUUUAAGAAAAACGAUUGUAUAGUAAGGCUUUUUCUAAAGUGUAUUGUAAGGCUUUUUUUUAAUCGACAGUGUAUAGUGAUGGUUUUUAGAAAAAAACGAGUGUAUCGUAAGACUAAAACGACAGUGUAUUGUAAUGUUUGACAAAUUUAUUCCAGCAUGUGAUGCAUUCACUGAUGCGGUCAGUGCAUGUUCUUCCUGCUCUUGUCCACCAGGUGGUGCUGCAGUACCGGGUUCCUGCAGCAUGGAUUUACUGGCGUAGUAGCGCUCCUCGCCAAGUUGUGUGCAGGUGUGUCCAUCCUGGAGAAUCUUGACAGCAUUUCAUGUGCCGUCUGAUAUUUCAAAUGUACGAACGAUCACCUGCUUCAGUUUCCAGUCUAAAGU